GACGAACGCUGGCGGCGUGCCUAAUACAUGCAAGUCGAGCGGACUGAUUAAGAGCUUGUUCUUAUUACGUUAGCGGCGGACGGGUGAGUAACACGUGGGCAACCUGCCCUGUAGAUCGGGAUAACACCGAGAAAUCGGUGCUAAUACCGGGUAAUAUCUGAGAUCACAUGAUCUUAGGUUAAAAGAUGGCUCUGGCUAUCACUACAGGAUGGGCCCGCGGCGUAUUAGAGAUGUGGUAAGGGAAUGGCUUCCCAAGGCGACGAUGCAUAGCCGACCUGGGGGGGUGGUCGGCCACACUUGGGCUGAGACACGGCCCAAACCCCUACGGGGGGCAGCAGUAGGGAAUCUUCCGCAAUGGACGAAAGGCUGACGCAGCAACGCCGCGGGGGGGAUGAAGGGGUUCCGCUCGUAAAGCUCUGUUGUUAGGGAAGAAACAGUACCGAGCGAACUAGGUCGGUACCUUGACGGUACCUAACCAGAAAGCCACGGCUAACUACGUG
rnacentral:rRNA from 1 species